rnacentral:tRNA from 1 species
GCCCGCAUAGCUCAGUCGGUAGAGCAUCAGACUUUUAUGACUGAAUCUUCACAGAGUCAUCUGAGGGUCGUGGGUUCAAGUCCCCCUGCGGGCG